CUCCUUCUCAAUUUUUAUUCAGUAAAAUGGCUGAAGCUCGAAUUUUUCAGGAUGAGUUCAAUUGUCCGGUGUGUUUGGAUUUACUUAACGAUCCAGUGACCAUUCCGUGUGGACACAGUUACUGUAAGAGCUGUAUUACUGGCUGCUGGAAUCAAGAGGAUCAGAGGGGAGUCUACAGCUGCCCUCAGUGCAGACAGGCCUACAGUCCAAGACCUACUUUAGGUAAAAACACCAUUCUGGGUGAAAUGGUGGAGAAACUGAAGAAGAUUAAACUUCCUGCUGACUGUUAUGCUGGCCCUGGAGAAGUGCAGUGUGACGUCUGUACUGGAAGAAAAUACAAAGCAGUGAAGUCCUGUAUGGCUUGUCUAAACUCUUACUGUCAAAGUCAUCUUGAACAACAUGAGGAUUUAUUUAGAGGAAAAAAACACAAUUUGAUGGAUGCCACCACACAGCUACAGGGGAUAGUCUGCCAUAAACAUGAGAAGAUCAAGGAGGUAUUUUGCCGCACAGAUAAUAAGUGUAUUUGUGUGCUGUGCACAAUGGAUGAACAUAAAAACCACAACACUGUAUCAGCGGCAGCUCAGCGGGCAGAAGAACAGGUAUAAACACAUGGCACUGGUGAAAUAAUGCACUUUUUUAUUAAAAAUGAAAAAUACUGCAUGUUCAUCUUUUUUUCAGGAACACUGUUGUUUAAAUUCAAUUAAUCUUUAUUUCUAUAGCACUUUUACAAUGUAGAUUGUGUCAAAGCAGCUUUACAAAGACGAUUAUAGUUAACUCAAAUAGUGUCAGUCUAGUUUUCAGUGUUGAAGUUCAGUUUAGUUCAGUUCAGUGUGGUGUAAUAUUCACUGCUGAGAGUUCAAACACUGAAGAGCAAAUCCUCAGGGCACGACCAUUUCUCCUAAGGCCAAACGUCCUGUGUAGAGCUGCAGUCUAGGCGCAGGCUGGAGAAAGCUGGACAUCCAUCAUGGAGAAGCUGCAGACGAGAGAGGUCAUCUGUUGGUGUACAGGCUGUUCUUCAGGAUCAAUGCGAGGACUUGUCACUGGGGUCCUACAAGGAUCAGUCUUAUGCUCUCCACUCCUCCAUGACCACCACAGCAGCUGCUCAGGAUACAGCCUGGUCCAGGAUUAUGGAAACCUUGGAAAUAAUAAAAAAAGACCAACAUUAGGGCAGAUGCCGUUCAAAUUAUAAAGUCUUUUGGGAAGUGUUCCCAGCUCCAGUUGCCCUAAAUAAUGCAGACUAACAAUCUUUUAAGAGGAUUUGGAUUUCACAAGCAUUUGUGUUUUAUGUGUAUGCUAAUGCAAAGAGAUCUCCCUCAGAUACUGGGAUGCUGUUACUAAUACUAACCACUGUUAGUGUGUUAAUGAUAUAAGUAAAUUAAUAGAGCUUGUAAAAUAAUCACUAAUUUGUUCGUUAUUAAAUUCCUGAAUAAAUUAGUAUAAUGAUUCUUAUUGAAUGACACUUGAAAAAUAAAUAAAUAUAUUUAAAAGUUUGUAAGGAAAAACAAAAACGUUGAGCAAAAAAGCUUAAGUACAUCAUGCUUUUAUGAUGCAUUGUCUUGUCAAGUAUUUCUUAUGUUUGCUGUUCAUUUUUAUUCCAAAGAAACACUUAAAAGGCUUGAAAAGAAAGUUCCAGCAAAGAAUCAAGCAGGGAGAAAAAGAUCUUCAGAAGCUGAGGGAUGCUGUGAAGUCUUAUAAGUGCUCUGCCCAGGCAGCAGUAAACUACACUGAGAAGAUCUUUAAUGAGCUGAUAAGUUCCAUUAUGAGAAGGCGAUCUGAGGUCACACUGCUAAUCAGAGGUCAGGAAAAGGCUGCAGUGGAUCAUGCUGAAACACUUAUUUUUCAAGUGAAGCAGGAUACGGAGACUCUGAGGGAAAGUGACGCUGAGCUGGAGAAUCUUUCGCAUGUACAAAAUCACAUUCAUUUUCUCCAGGUAACAUCUAAUAACAGAACUUCUAAUGACAAGAUUUUCAGCUUUUAAAAUGAGCAGCUUAAAGAUUAUGUUGUCCUAAGCUUUGAUAAGUGAUGCAAAUUGUUGUUUUUACAAAUAAUUAGUCAGAUUCUCAUUUAACCUCAGCCAUAAAAAGAGCAAAUCAAUAAAACUAUUUUCAGAAAAA